rnacentral:lncRNA from 1 species
GUCCUGCCCAUCUGUGGGCCCUCGGGGGCUGCGCUCUGCUCCUCUGACAUGGCUGUGCUGUGCUUGUCCUUGCAGCUGCAGAUUUCUUCAGCUGUGGUCAGCUUGGAGAGGUAUGCAAAGGCAUGGUCAAGGACACUGUCUGAAGAUCCCAGCUAUGCCUGCUGCCUCCUUUUCCUGCAGCCUUUGUCUCAGAACACAAUGUCCUUAUUAGUCUGCAGGAGGGUAUGUUGUCUUCUUGUUCUUACAUAAGUCGCAUUCCUCCUCCUGUCAAAGAACGUAAUUGCACUCAUGUCCAAAGCACUUGGACAUAUCAGGCGCAAUUCAUGCCUGUUGUCUGUCCACUUUUAUCGGGGAAGUCAGAGAAAGGAUAAGCUCUGAAAUCGGGGUGAAACCUCUGCCUUCUGUCACGUUCCUCAAGCAUGAACGUUAUUGUGGCAUUUAAAGAACAAUAACUUGCUGACAUAGUUCCUAGUAAUACCAGGGCAUAUUUUAUUAAUGCAUUCACACAGCAUGUUGGCCAGCUCUGUUUAACAGCUGCCAAGGGUUACACUGGUAAAUGCCAAAGAAGGCCUCAUUUGUCUGCCUGCCUGCGUACAGAUGCUGGACCUGGAUUACCCUCCAGCACAAGCUUUGAGAUCCUCUCAGCUGCUCCCUUCCCCGGGCCACAGUCCACGAUCAUUUCCAGUUUGGAAAAAAGCAUGCUUUUUCUGAUGGAGAACGGCAUAUUUUACAGAGUGGCUUCCUUUAAGAGAGGAAAUAGGGAAAGGUUUAGUGCCUCCAGAGCAUGUCUGUCAAAGAAGUCUGAGAGCUGUGAUAAAGAGGAUCUGGUAGGUCAGGAUGCCAACAUCUUAGCUGGCCUUCAGUCAAGUCUUGGAAGCAAACAAGAUUGUAAUUACCUGCAAGAUGCCUGAAUUAGCACAAUAGAAACUUGGCAGUAACAGCUGCAUUUUUGAAAAUGGGAUUUAAAAAAUAAAUAAAUGUAAAACAGAGAAAUAAUACA